UACGUAGGGCGCAAGCGUUGUCCGGAAUUAUUGGGCGUAAAGAGCUCGUAGGCGGUUUGUCGCGUCUGGUGUGAAAACCUCAGGCUCAACCUGGGGCGUGCAUCGGGUACGGGCAGACUAGAGUGCGGUAGGGGAGACUGGAAUUCCUGGUGUAGCGGUGGAAUGCGCAGAUAUCAGGAGGAACACCGAUGGCGAAGGCAGGUCUCUGGGCCGCAACUGACGCUGAGGCGCGAAAGCGUGGGGAGCAAACGGG
rnacentral:rRNA from 1 species